rnacentral:tmRNA from 4 species
GGGGGUGAACGGUCUCGACUUUGGAUGUUGGGACAGGGGAAGCGGGCCGAGGAAGCCGGGAUGAUCUCGUAAACCAAAAACCCGUGCAAACAAUCAAGCGCCAGUACAACUGCCGCUGAUUACGCUCUCGCUGCAUAAGCGAGCCUCGUAAUCCGUUAGCCCAAGUGCGCCCUCGCCUUGGAAUCUAGCGCCGACAGAGGGCUUACUUAUUCAUAAGGUUGCGAUUAUGAAUCGGGAAAUCUUCCGCAAAUGAGUUCGUUGACUACAUGUGCGCGUGAGAGUCAGAGCUGAGAAAACGAAUAGCGCACUACGCCCGUAGAAGCCCUGUUUUAGUACCAGAGGACCCGGGUUCGAUUCCCGGCACCUCCACCA